rnacentral:misc_RNA from 1 species
AUUGUUUUAUGCUUCCUCCCCUUUUGAUCAAUCAGUGAUUUACUAUAUGCUGCAGAGCUUAAACAUUCAUUUCCAGACUUAUCAUCUGUUAGGACUGGUGGUUUUUAAAUGAAUUCUUCUGUGUCAAUUGAAUUAGUUAAUCACUCUUUAGUUGUGGUUCACAUUAUGGUGAUGCUAGGAUAUCAAGUUGAAAAUUCUUGCUAUUUUUUAAUUCCUCCCACGUUAGUGCUUUAAUAUAUGCG